UACAGAGGGGGCAAGCGUUAUUCGGAAUUAUUGGGCGUAAAGGGCGCGUAGGCGGCUUUUCAAGUGACGGGUGAAAUCCCUCGGCUUAACCGAGGAACUGCCUGUCAGACUGGAAGGCUUGAGACCGGGAGAGGUGAGUGGAAUUCCCAGUGUAGCGGUGAAAUGCGUAGAUAUUGGGAGGAACACCAGUGGCGAAGGCGGCUCACUGGACCGGAACUGACACUGAGCUGCGAAAGCAAGGGGAGCAAACAGG
rnacentral:rRNA from 1 species